rnacentral:rRNA from 1 species
GUCUACGUCAAUGCCACCCUGAACAUGCCCGAUCUCAUCAGAUCUUGGAAGCUAAGCAGGGUCGGGCCUGGUUAGUAUUUGAAUGGGAGACCACCUAGAAUACCAGGCUCUGUACGUGGAAA